rnacentral:rRNA from 1 species
GAUGAACGCUGGCGGCGUGCUUAAUACAUGCAAGUCGAACGGAGAGCCUUUGUAGCAAUACGAGGGUUUCUUAGUGGCGAACGGGUGCGUAACGCGUUGGUGACCUGCCCCGAAGUGUGGGAUAACAGUCCGAAAGGACUGCUAAUACCUCAUGUGGUCACGAGGGUUAGAGGCCUUGUGACUAAAGCAGCAAUGCGCUUCGGGAGGGACCUGCGUCCCAUCAGCUAGUUGGUGAGGUAACGGCCCACCAAGGCUACGACGGGUAGGGGACCUGAGAGGGUGGUCCCCCACACUGGCACUGAAACACGGGCCAGACACCUACGGGAGGCUG